rnacentral:ncRNA from 1 species
GCAGAGUAGAAAACCGCGCGUUAAGUGCUGUCGGGACGGGGAGUUGCCCGGCGGACGAAGAAAAUUUCGCGGUGCGGUUUUCGCAUCCCGCUGC